rnacentral:tRNA from 1 species
UUUUAAGGAGCUGUAUAUAGCGUUUUUAUUGUUAAUGAAAUGAAGUAUAAGGAAGUUUAUAAU